rnacentral:rRNA from 1 species
AUUGAACGCUGGCGGCAUGCCUUACACAUGCAAGUCGAACGGUAACAGGUCUUCGGAUGCUGACGAGUGGCGAACGGGUGAGUAAUACAUCGGAACGUGCCCGAUCGUGGGGGAUAACGGAGCGAAAGCUUUGCUAAUACCGCAUACGAUCUACGGACGAAAGCAGGGGACCGCAAGGCCUUGCGCGGACGGAGCGGCCGAUGGCAGAUUAGGUAGUUGGUGGGAUAAAAGCUUACCAAGCCGACGAUCUGUAGCUGGUCUGAGAGGACGACCAGCCACACUGGGACUGAGACACGGCCCAGACUCCUACGGGAGGCAGCAGUGGGGAAUUUUGGACAAUGGGCGAAAGCCUGAUCCAGCCAUGCCGCGUGCAGGAUGAAGGCCUUCGGGUUGUAAACUGCUUUUGUACGGAACGAAAAGACUCUUUCUAAUAAAGAGGGUCCAUGACGGUACCGUAAGAAUAAGCACCGGCUAACUACGUG